rnacentral:tRNA from 1 species
GCCCGGUUAGCUCAGUCGAGAGAGCACUCGCCCAGUAAGCGAGGUGUCAUGGGUUCGAGCCUCGUCUGGGCG